rnacentral:lncRNA from 1 species
AUAUUGUCAGGGGUUCAGAGAGAGAGGCACAGGGUAGGCAGGAGAUGGAGAGCGAGGGGGAGGAAUUCCAAGCCAGCGAGGAAGAGGAUGACAAUGACUCAAGGGAUUCCAUGAGUCUUUCCAGCGAAUCAGAGGAUUCCCAGAAGGGGGCGCCGGUGGUCAGGGCCAGGGGAGCCCCAGGGGGGAAGUGUCAGGAGCAGGGUGCCAGCGGAGGAUCCCAAAGUGGCAGCUGGGCGUCAGGACCAGCCUCCCCACCAAAGUGCAGUGAAGGGGGUGGAGUUUCCAGUGUGUCAGAGGAAGCAGCUCCAGCAGCAGAGAAAGGAGGGGGGUCAGAGCAAGCCGCCCUCCCGGAAGGGGAGGGGAGCAGUGAAGGGAGUAGUGUAACUGCCAAAAGGAAAGUUAGAGGUUUGGCGCGCGCGCCUAGUUCAAAUGUAGAGGCGCGCGGAAGUGCAGGGAGUCCGGAGGAGGGGCCAGGUCCCAAAGCCCGCAGGAGGGGGGGAAGAGCAGUCUGAUUCCGCGUCAGAGGAAUCCAGAAGGGGCGCAACCCCAGGGGGCAGAAGGACCCUGCGGAAAAGGAAGGAGAGAAAGAGGUGGAGCAGCGCAAGUCUCUUAAAUUGGUGCAGAGGAGGGACUGACUCAGAGGGGACUUCGGCGGUCUAGCGUAAGAGACGUAAGGCUGCGCGCCUAGGAUGUCAAGCAAACCAUGAACUGCAAUAAACACCUUUGUAUACAAGAAGACGUAGGCGUUGGUCUUUUGUGAGCUAAGACUUGAGGCAGCCUUGACAGUAAGUCCCCUCUCAGAACAAAAAACCGCAAAAAUUUUUUUUUGCACAGCUCACGAAGUUUGGCAGCAAUGACUACUGAGGAGCAGAUAGCGUCCCUGCAAAACGCAGUCACCGAGCUCUCCACUGCCGUCGUGGUUUCUCAGAAGACAGUUGCAGAAGCAGAAGCGCGAUGCCAGGAUCUGCAAGCCAGGUGGGAUCGGGCGUGCAGAGAGGGGUUCCCGGGGUCCAGAUCAGAGGGAAUCGGACUGGGACGAAGGGGGGGCAAUUUAGUAGCCCACUUCGAUGGGAACCUGAAGCAUUAUCCCAAUUUCAGAGCAGACGUCGUAUAUGCACUGCAUUUACUUCGAAAGGACUUCAAGGAUGAGGAGGAAAAAGUGGGGUUCAUUGUGUCGCACCUGCAUGGGGAAGCAAGGAAUUGGUUACGCAAUUUAUGGCGCGAAGAUGGUCUUGCACGCAGGGACUCUGAUGAAUUUCUCAAAGCCAUGGACGCUUGCUUCCAAUCUACUGUUGACGUUGAUGUGGCACGUCAGGAGAUGCAUGGAUUGCGGCAGGGCAAGGCUACAGUGCGUCAGUACCAUUCUCGCUUUUUUGCAUUGCUGAAUGUGCUGGGCUGGGAAAAGGACUCCCUGGCAGUGAGGGACUUGUUUUGGGAAGGGCUGCAUGGCUCAGUGAAAGAUGAGCUGGCUAGGGGAGACAGACCUCAAACCCUAGCAGACGUCGUGCAGAGGGCACUCACGAUAGGGGUGCGCCAAGAAGACCGCCCUUGGCACAGGGAGGAGGGGCGUCACGUCCGCCCACCAGCUAGAGCGCCUCCUUUUCCUUCCAGGGACUUGGAACGUUCAAGCCUUUCGCCUGUCCUGGCAGCGGGGGAAGAACAGAUGGAACUGGGUGGUGCAAAGGCUCAGACAGCUGCCGGAGCCUCAGCGUCAGGAGCAGUCAAAGCGAAGCCUCCUAGAGGGACCAGGAAGUGUUACAUCUGUGACAGUGCACGGCACAUGGCUAAAGAGUGUCCCCAGAGGCUCCAGAAGCACACUGCAGCCUUAGCAACAGUAACAGGGGAAGCUUUCCAAGGGGAGCAGUUUCAGGGAAACGAGAAUGCCUGGUUGGAGGGAGAGACGCUGGGGCUCCGCCAGGCAAGUCAAUGAAGCAGUCCCCAGCGCUUUUGCAGCCUACAGACCCCUUACCACCUAAGCCAGUGGUGCAGCUCACUGCUACUCUCCAGCUGCCUAAUGGACUCACCCUGGAAGUCCCCAUUACGAUUGACUCAGGGAGCAACGCAGACUUCGUGGGGGUGCAGUUCGUCAAGCAGCAUCGCAUAGCGCUACUACCAGCCACGCUGCCUCUGAAUGUGGUCACUGUAGAUGGCAGGAAGUUGCUGGGUGGGCAAGUGGUACAACAGACGCCAGCCAUGCUGCUGAAAAUUGGGAAUCAUCGCGAGGUCAUCAGUUUCAAUGUCACCCAACUGUCAGACACGCCCAUAGUGCUAGGCAUGAGUUGGCUGGAUAGACACAGCCCAUCCUUGGCGUGGUACCAGCGGCAGCUCACCUUUGGCUCGUCCUACUGUGCACAACAUUGCAUCCAGAUUGGUGAGGACGAGGAGGGCCGGGAGGAAGGGCAACAGCUGCAUCUAGGCAUGGUGCAGGCAGUGCCCCACAAGUACAAGGGAUUUUUGGAGGUCUUCUGCGAGAAGGAAGCUGACCAAUUACCACCCCACAGGCCCUACGACUGUGCAAUUGACCUCUUACCAGGGGCAACGCUGCCGACUGCGAAGCUGUAUUCCAUGUCUGAAGAUGAGAUGCAGGAGCUCAGGGAGUUCAUAGAUCACAAUUUGAAGCGGGAUUCAUCCGAGAAUCCAAGGCAGUGGGGGCAGUCCUGUGUUUUUCGUGAAGAAGAAGGACACGCCCCAAAAACGACUCAUUGUGGACUAUAGGGCCAUAAACUCGAUGACAAAACCCAAGGCUUUCCCCAUGCCCAAGAUUGACGACCUGCUCGCGACGGUGAGGAAGGGGAGGAUCUUCACCAAGUUGGAUCUACGCGGAGCCUACAAUCUCAUACGCAUGAGGGAAGGUGACGAGUGGAAGACGGCCAUGUUCACGCCGCUGGGCACCUAUGAAUACAGAGUUAUGCCGUUUGGUCUCCAAAAUGGCUCCCACUGUUUUCAAGCAUUCAUGCACCACGUGCUAGCAGGACUCCUCUACAAGAAGUGCGUAUGCUUUCUCGACGAUAUUCUGAUCUUCUCGGAAUCGCAGGAGACUCACGAAAGAGACGUAAAGGAGGUCCUGCAGAGGCUACGGGAGCACAGACUCUACGCCAAGCUGGAGAAGUGCCAGUUCGACGUGACGGAGGUGGAUUUCCUGGGCUACCGGCUGUCCGACAAGGGACUAGCCAUGGACAGCGCCAAGGUCCGCGCGGUGUUGGACUGGAAUAGCCCGCGCAAUCGGAAGGAGGUCCAGAGGUCUCGUCGGCUUCGCCAACUUUUACCGCAAGUUCAUCAGGGGUUUCGCGAAAGAGACGGCAGCUAUCACGGACACCCUCAGUUCCAAGAAGAAAAAGUUCACCUGGACGGACCAGGCGGAGCAGUCCUUCAGGAGACUUAAGAGUCUCUUCGCGUCCGAAGACCAGCUGCUACACGUGAAUCCUGGCAGGCCCAUGCGGGUUGAGACUGACGCAUCUGACAGAGCAGUGGGGGCCGUCCUCUUGCAGGAAGAUUCGCAAGGGAACUGGAGGCCCUGCGCUUUCUACUCCCGGAAGCUCAGCAAGUCGGAACAGAACUACACCAUCUGGGACAGGGAGUUGUUGGCCAUCCACGCGGCUUUCAAGGCGUGGCGGCACUUCCUCAUCGGAGCCAAGCACACCGUGCAGGUCCGCACGGACCACAAGAACCUGGAGUAUUGGCGCACGGCGAAGCUCCAGAGCCAGAGGCACAUGAGAUGGGCGGAGUUCUUUGCGGAUUUCGAUUUCCGGAUAGAGUAUAUCCCGGGAGACAACAACAUCAUAGCGGAUGCGCUCUCCAGGAAACCGCAGUAUCUUGAGGAAGCGGCACCAGUGGCAGCCAGGCACAUUUUUGCACCGCAAGCGUGGGCGUGCGCUUCUGCCGCCGUGGACCUGGACGCGGUACGACGCGCGCUACAGACGGACCCGUUUGCACAAUCCAAGAUGGAGGAGGUGCGAAGAGGGACAGCAAAGGACGGCGAAUUCCAGAUACGCGACGGCCUGCUGACCCGCAAAGGUGCUCUCUAUGUCCCGGGAGACGAUCUCCGAGCGAAGGUUUUACAGCAGUUACACGACGCCCCCAGCGCGGGUCACUUCGGCAAGGAGAAGACGGCGGACUUAGUAGCCAGGGACUUUUGGUGGCCCCAGAUGCGGGGAGAAGUCGCGGAUUACGUCGCCAGAUGUGACACUUGUCAGAGGUCCAAGCCAGUGCACAAGAAGCCAGCGGGAUUGCUGGAACCGCUGGAGACGCCACUGCAGCCGUGGGAAAGGGUGGCGCUGGACUUUGUCACUGAUCUGCCCAGUUCGCGGGGCAAGACGGCGGUGCUUGUGGUUGUAGAUCUGUUCACCAAGAUGGCGCAUUUCAUUCCUUGCGCGAAGGUGGCAACAGCGGAGCAGACCGCCAGGCUAUUCAUAGACCACGUGUUCCGGGUGCACGGCUUACCACGGUCCAUUUUGUCCGACCGGGGUCGCCAAUUCAUUUCCAGUUUCUGGCAGAAGCUCCUGGGCAUCCUGAAUGUCAAGAUCAACUUAGCGUCGGCGAGACACCCGCAAACCAACGGCCAAGCGGAGAGGGUCAACGCCAUCAUGCAGCAGUACCUGCGAUGUUACGCCAAUCAGAAGCCUGCAACUUGGGUGGACUACUUACCGAUGGCCGAGUUUGCCUACAACAACACGAAGCACGCGUCAACGGGGGUGACACCGUUCUUCGCCAACAAUGGGCGACACCCCAGAACAUUCCCGGCGUUGGAGACGACGACGCAGGGGGAGUCGCAGGGAGCGGAACAUUUAGCAGCAGAAUUGCAGGAGGUCCACGAGGAGCUACGACGGCACUUGGAACUAGCUAAACACGCCUACAAAGUGCAGGCAGACAGGCACAGGAGGGCAGGAGAAGACAUCCAGGUGGGGGACUGGGUAUGGUUAGCAGCCCAGGCGGUGCCGGCCAAGUCGUUAGCUAAGAAGAAGCUAGGACACAAACAGCUAGGGCCAUACCAAGUUGAGGGCAGGAUCAAUCCCGUAGCUUUUCGGUUGACCCUCCCAGAGGAUUCCCGAAUGCACCCGGUCUUUCAUAGGUCGGUGCUUACACCCUACAAGGCCCCACACAGAUUUCAGGAGCCAGGGACGGCACCAGACCCGCGUAGGAAGUCACCAGGGGGAAGUCACCGAGGACCCCGACACUCAACGAGGUCACGGAAAUUCUGGACUCGAGAUGGGGGGAGGAGGGAGUGGAAUACCUCCUCGCCAGGGAAGGUACCCCGGCUAGCGCCAACAGUUGGGUGCCAGAUUAUGCUCUGGAGGAACCUUUGCUUAAGGACGAGUUCCAUGCACUCUUCCCACACAGGCCCAUGCCAGAGGAGUAUUUUGACGACUGGCUUUUUACCCCCACACUUUCAGGCAGCACCUUCAGGGGGUCUCCUCCGCAGAGGAGACCACGCCGCAAUCGAGCCCUCCAAGGGGAUCGGGCUCGGGGGUGGACACGGACCGCUCUUAUUGGUGGGACGAUCAACCAGAAGUGGGGUGGCGAAGGGGACCUUGGCAAGCAGCUUCGCUGAAGUAACAGGGGGAGGGAAGGGUUUGGAGGUGUUGGGGAGGACCCUGGUUUCGAGCACUCCUACACUGAACUGGAAGCAGAGGAGAUCGACGUCGACGAACUGUAUCCAGCAUCUACCCCCGCUACAACGAAGCUCCCGGAACCUGCGCCCGAGCAGCGGGAGGGGGGAAGGGGGGGCUUCGAGGGGGGGGAUGGAUGUCAGGGGUUCAGAGAGAGAGGCACAGGGUAGGCAGGAGAUGGAGAGCGAGGGGGAGGAAUUCCAAGCCAGCGAGGAAGAGGAUGACAAUGACUCAAGGGAUUCCAUGAGUCUUUCCAGCGAAUCAGAGGAUUCCCAGAAGGGGGCGCCGGUGGUCAGGGCCAGGGAGCCCCAGGGGGGAAGUGUCAGGAGCAGGGUGCCAGCGGAGGAUCCCAAAGUGGCAGCUGGGCGUCAGGACCAGCCUCCCCACCAAAGUGCAGUGAAGGGGUGGAGUUUCCAGUGUGUCAGAGGAAGCAGCUCCAGCAGCAGAGAAAGGAGGGGGGUCAGAGCAAGCCGCCCUCCCGGAAGGGGAGGGGAGCAGUGAAGGGAGUAGUGUAACUGUCAAAAGGAAAGUUAGAGGUUUGGCGCGCGCGCCUAGUUCAAAUGUAGAGGCGCGCGGAAGUGCAGGGAGUCCGGAGGAGGGGCCAGGUCCCAAAGCCCGCAGGAGGUGGAAGAGCAGUCUGAUUCCGCGUCAGAGGAAUCCAGAAGGGGCGCAACCCCAGGGGGCAGAAGGACCCUGCGGAAAAGGAAGGAGAGAAAGAGGUGGAGCAGCGCAAGUCUCUUAAAUUGGUGCAGAGGAGGGACUGACUCAGAGGGGACUUCGGCGGUCUAGCGUAAGAGACGUAAGGCUGCGCGCCUAGGAUGUCAAGCAAACCAUGAACUGCAAUAAACACCUUUGUAU